rnacentral:rRNA from 1 species
CAGUCGCCGCGGUAAUACGGAGGGGGCUAGCGUUGUUCGGAAUUACUGGGCGUAAAGCGCACGUAGGCGGCUUGGUAAGUUAGAGGUGAAAGCCCGGAGCUCAACUCCGGAAUUGCCUUUAAGACUGCCGAGCUAGUAGGUGAGAGAGGUAAGUGGAAUUCCGAGUGUAGAGGUGAAAUUCGUAGAUAUUCGGAAGAACACCAGUGGCGAAGGCGGCUUACUGGCUCAUUCUAGACGCUGAGGUGCGAAAGCGUGGGGAGCAAACAGGAUUAAAUACCCGCGUAGUCCCUGUCUCUUAUAC